UACGAAGGGGGCUAGCGUUGCUCGGAAUUACUGGGCGUAAAGGGCGCGUAGGCGGCUCGGCACGUCCGUUGUGAAAUCGCCCGGCUCAACUGGGCGGGGUCGGCGGAUACGGCCGAGCUGGAGCAAGCUAGGGGGUAAUGGAAUUCCCGGUGUAGUGGUGGAAUGCGUAGAUAUCGGGAGGAACACCAGUGGCGAAGGCGGUUACCUGGAGCUUUGCUGACGCUGAUGCGCGAAAGCGUGGGGAGCGAUCCGG
rnacentral:rRNA from 1 species